UACAGAGGUCUCAAGCGUUGUUCGGAUUCAUUGGGCGUAAAGGGUGUGUAGGUGGCGCGCUAAGUCGGGUGUGAAAUUUCGGAGCUUAACUCUGAAACUGCAUUCGAUACUGGCGUGCUUGAGGACUGGAGAGGAGACUGGAAUUCAUGGUGUAGCAGUGAAAUGCGUAGAGAUCAUGAGGAAGACCAGUGGCGAAGGCGGGUCUCUGGACAGUUCCUGACGCUGAGGCGCGAAGGCCAGGGGAGCAAACGGG
rnacentral:rRNA from 1 species